CCCUUCUCAAGGUUGCACCUGGAGAGUUUCCAGUACUCUACCAGUCUUGACUAUGAGAGGGAGAGUCAAGUAGAAGCCUACCCAUUCCAUUCCUAAUUUGGCCAAUGGCUAGUGAUUGGAAGGCAAUCUGCUACAAGU